UACGUAGGGUGCGAGCGUUGUCCGGAAUUAUUGGGCGUAAAGAGCUCGUAGGCGGCCUGUCGCGUCGGAUGUGAAAGCCCGGGGCUUAACCCCGGGUCUGCAUUCGAUACGGGCAGGCUGGAGUGUGGUAGGGGAGAUCGGAAUUCCUGGUGUAGCGGUGAAAUGCGCAGAUAUCAGGAGGAACACCCGUGGCGAAGGCGGCUCUCUGGGACGGUACUGACGCUGAGACGCGAAAGCCAGGGGAGCAAACGGG
rnacentral:rRNA from 1 species